AGUUAUAUAGUUUAAAAAAAUGAAAACAUCGAAUUGCAAGUUCGAAGAUGCUAGGGGCUAUGACUU
rnacentral:tRNA from 1 species